CAGCCAGGAGAUCAAUAUCAAUGAAAACUUAUAUCGUACAUGGCCCUUGCCUUUUACCAGAGCCAUCCGGGUAUUGUCUUCGCUAAUGGCUGUUUUGUCAUUUUUUGGAACCUUUUUCUUUCUCAUGUU
rnacentral:snRNA from 1 species